rnacentral:rRNA from 15 species
GCUUACGGCCAUACCACCCUGAACGCGCCCGAUCUCGUCCGAUCUCCGAAGCUAAGCAGGGUCGGGCCUGGUUAGUACUUGGAUGGGAGACCGCCUGGGAAUACCAGGUGCUUUAAGCC